ensembl:lncRNA
CUUGAACCUAACCUAUUCCACUGAUCAACAAAUCUAUUCCUUAGCCAAUACCAAAUGGUUUUGGUAACUGCUGCUCUAUAAUAUAGUUUUAGAUCUGGUACAGCUAAGCCACCUUCAUUUGAUUUUUUUUUCAUUAAUUCCCUUGAAAUUCUUGACCUUUUGUUUUUCCAUAUGAAUUUUGUUGUUAUUUUUUCUAGGUCAUUAAAAUAGUUUUUUGGGAGUCUGAUUGGUAUAGCGCUAAAUAAAUAGAUUGGUUUAGGUAAUAUUGUCAUCUUUAUUAUAUUUGCUCACCCUAUCCAAGAGCAUUUAAUAUUUUUCCAAUUGGUUAGAUCAGACUUAAUUUGUGUGAAAAGUGGUCUGUAAUUUUGCUCAUAAAGUUUCUGAUUUUCCCUUGGCAGAUAGAUUCCUAAAUAUUUUAUAUUAUCAGUAGUUACUUUAAAUGGAAUUUCUCUUUGUAACUCUGACUGUUGGAUUUUGUUAGUGAUAUAUAAGAAUGCUGAUGACUUAUGUGGGUUUAUUUUAUAACCAGCAACUUUGCUAAAGUUCUGGAUUAUUUCUAAUAACUUUUUAGUAGAAUCUCUGGGGUUCUCUAAAUAUACCAUCAUGUCGUCGGCAAAGAGUGAUAAUUUGGUUUCCUCAUUGCCUAUUCUUAUUCCUUUAAUCUCUUUCUCAGCUCUUAUUGCCAAAGCUUGCGUUUCUAAUACAAUAUUAAAUAGUAAUGGUGAUAGUGGGCAACCUUGUUUCACUCCAGAUCUUAUUGGGAAGGGUUGCAGUUUGUCUCCAUUACAUAUGAUGGUUACUGAUGGUUUUAAAUAGAUGCUGCUGAUUAUUUUAAGGAAAAGUCCAUUUAUUCCUAUACUCUCAAGUGUUUUUAAUAGGAAUGGAUGUUGGAUUUUGUCAAAUGCUUUUUCUGCAUCUAUUGAGAUGAUCAUAUGGUUUUUGUUAAUUUGGUUGUUAAUGUGGCCAAUUAUAUUGAUAGUUUUCCUAAUAUUGAACCAGCCCUGCAUUCCUGGUAUAAAUCCUACUUGAUCAUAGUGUAUUAUCCUGGAGAUGAUUUUCUGUAGUCUUUUUGCUAAUAUCUUAUUUAAGAUUUUAGCAUCAGUAUUCAUUAGGGAGAUUGGUCUAUAAUUUUCUUUCUCUGUUUUCAACCUACCUGGUUUAGGUAUCAGUACCAUGUCUG